rnacentral:rRNA from 1 species
AGAGUUUGAUCCUGGCUCAGGACGAACGCUGGCGGCGUGCCUAAUACAUGCAAGUAGAACGCUGAAGAGAGGAGCUUGCUCUUCUUGGAUGAGUUGCGAACGGGUGAGUAACGCGUAGGUAACCUGCCUUGUAGCGGGGGAUAACUAUUGGAAACGAUAGCUAAUACCGCAUAACAAUGGAUGACACAUGUCAUUUAUUUGAAAGGGGCAAUUGCUCCACUACAAGAUGGACCUGCGUUGUAUUAGCUAGUAGGUGAGGUAAUGGCUCACCUAGGCGACGAUACAUAGCCGACCUGAGAGGGUGAUCGGCCACACUGGGACUGAGACACGGCCCAGACUCCUACGGGAGGCAGCAGUAGGGAAUCUUCGGCAAUGGGGGCAACCCUGACCGAGCAACGCCGCGUGAGUGAAGAAGGUUUUCGGAUCGUAAAGCUCUGUUGUAAGUCAAGAACGGGUGUGAGAGUGGAAAGUUCACACUGUGACGGUAGCUUACCAGAAAGGGACGGCUAACUACGUGCCAGCAGCCGCGGUAAUACGUAGGUCCCGAGCGUUGUCCGGAUUUAUUGGGCGUAAAGCGAGCGCAGGCGGUUUGAUAAGUCUGAAGUUAAAGGCUGUGGCUCAACCAUAGUUCGCUUUGGAAACUGUCAAACUUGAGUGCAGAAGGGGAGAGUGGAAUUCCAUGUGUAGCGGUGAAAUGCGUAGAUAUAUGGAGGAACACCGGUGGCGAAAGCGGCUCUCUGGUCUGUAACUGACGCUGAGGCUCGAAAGCGUGGGGAGCGAACAGGAUUAGAUACCCUGGUAGUCCACGCCGUAAACGAUGAGUGCUAGGUGUUGGAUCCUUUCCGGGAUUCAGUGCCGCAGCUAACGCAUUAAGCACUCCGCCUGGGGAGUACGACCGCAAGGUUGAAACUCAAAGGAAUUGACGGGGGCCCGCACAAGCGGUGGAGCAUGUGGUUUAAUUCGAAGCAACGCGAAGAACCUUACCAGGUCUUGACAU